CAUUCGAGUGGCGGACGGGUGAGUAACGCGUGGGUAACCUGCCUUACACAGGGGGAUAACACCUGGAAACAGGUGCUAAUACCGCAUAAGCGCACAGGGCCGCAUGGCCCGGUGUGAAAAACUCCGGUGGUACAGGAUGGACCCGCGUCUGAUUAGCUGGUUGGCGGGGUAACGGCCCACCAAGGCGACGAUCAGUAGCCGGCCUGAGAGGGUGAACGGCCACAUUGGGACUGAGACACGGCCCAAACUCCUACGGAAGGCAGCAG
rnacentral:rRNA from 1 species